GACAGAGGUGCCAAGCGUUAGGCGGAAUCACUGGGCUUAAAGCGUGUGUAGGCGGAAUGGUAAGUACCUUGUGAAAUCCCACGGCUCAACCGUGGAACUGCUGGGUAUACUGCUUUUCUUGAGCCACUUAGGGGCUGUCGGAACAAGCGGUGGAGCGGUGAAAUGCGUAGAUAUCGCUUGGAACGCCGAAGGUGAAAACAGGCUGCUGGGGUUGCGCCGACGCUGAGACACGAAAGCCAGGGGAGCAAACGGG
rnacentral:rRNA from 1 species